rnacentral:rRNA from 1 species
UGGGGAAUAUUGCACAAUGGGCGCAAGCCUGAUGCAGCCAUGCCGCGUGUGUGAAGAAGGCCUUCGGUUGUAAAGCACUUCAGCGAGGAGGAAGGUGGUGAACUUAAUACGUUCAUCAAUUGACGUUACUCGCAGAAGAAGCACCGGCUAACUCCGUGCCAGCAGCCGCGGUAAUACGGAGGGUGCAAGCGUUAAUCGGAAUUACUGGGCGUAAAGCGCACGCAGGCGGUUUGUUAAGUCAGAUGUGAAAUCCCCGGGCUCAACCUGGGAACUGUAUUUGAAAACUGGCAAGCUAGAGUCUCGUAGAGGGGGGUAGAAUUCCAGGUGUAGCGGUGAAAUGCGUAGAGAUCUGGAGGAAUACCGGUGGCGAAGGCGGCCCCCCUGGANGAAGACUGACGCUCAGGUGCGAAAAGCGUGGGGAGCAAAACAGGAUUAGAUACCCUGGUAGUCCACGCUGUAAAACGAUGUCGAUUUGGAGGUUGUGCCCUUGAGGCGUGGCUUCCGGAGCUAACGCGUUAAAUCGACCGCCUGGGGAGUACGGCCGCAAGGUUAAAAACUC